rnacentral:rRNA from 1 species
GACGAACGCUGGCGGCGUGCUUAACACAUGCAAGUCGAACGGUAAGGCCCUUCGGGGUACACGAGUGGCGAACGGGUGAGUAACACGUGGGUGAUCUGCCCUGCACUUCGGGAUAAGCCUGGGAAACUGGGUCUAAUACCGGAUAGGACCCUGGGAUGCAUGUCCUGGGGUGGAAAGCUUUUGCGGUGUGGGAUGGGCCCGCGGCCUAUCAGCUUGUUGGUGGGGUGAUGGCCUACCAAGGCGACGACGGGUAGGCGGCCUGAGAGGGUGACCGGCCACACUGGGCCUGAGAUACGGCCCAGACUCCUACGGGAGGCAGCAGUGGGGAAUAUUGCACAAUGGGCGCAAGCCUGAUGCAGCGACGCCGCGUGAGGGAUGACGGCCUUCGGGUUGUAAACCUCUUUCAGCACCGACGAAGCGCAAGUGACGGUAGGUGCAGAAGAAGGACCGGCCAACUACGUGCCAGCCGCCGCGGUAA